rnacentral:rRNA from 1 species
UUAUAAGAGACAGCAGUCGCCACGGUAAACCGGAGGGUGCAAGCGUUAAUCGGAAUUACUGGGCGUAAAGCGCACGCAGGCGGUCUGACAAGUCAGAUGUGAAAUCCCCGGGCUUAACCUGGGAACUGCAUUUGAAACUGUCAGGCUGGAGUCUUGUAGAGGGGGGUGGAAUUCCAGGUGUAGCGGUGAAAUGCGUAGAGAUCUGGAGGAAUACCGGUGGCGAAGGCGGCCCCCUGGACAAAGACUGACGCUCAGGUGCGAAAGCGUGGGGAGCAAACAGGAUUAGAUACCCCUGUAGUCCCUGUCUCUUAUAC